CCUCGUGGUGAUGAUAGGAGCAAGUAGCAUAUCAAUAUCACGUUUUUUAAUAUACAGUUGCCUGCUAGCGACUUUAGUUCAGAUGAAAGGAAGACAACCUAAAACGCACUUUAUCCAAGUCAUUGACUCUCAACCAACCCCGUUCCACCUUGCCAUUUCCAUUUCCAUUUCCAUUUCCAUUCCCGCCAUGGAUGUACUUCGCUACUCGGUAGGCUCUCGAUUCCCUAAAACUCACCGCCGCAGUUCAUUCCGUGCAUUUCACUGCCAAUGCUUCUUUGCCAAAAGGUCGAGUCUAAGCCUUCCGUUUCCAGAACAUAAUGCAAAGCACUAUAAAGAGCUCCAAGCAGCUGUCAAUGUUGUCGAGAGUGCUUGUCGUCUCUGCGUUGAUGUGCAAAAAUCUUUGUUCUCAAUUGAUGGAAAAGUUGUGCAAAAAGUUGAUCGGACACCAGUUACGGUUGCAGAUUUUGGAGUUCAGGCCCUUAUCAGCUUGGAGAUGAGCAAACUAUUUCCUUCUAUUCCUUUGGUGGCUGAAGAAGACUCGGCAUUUUUGCGUGAAAAUAAUCUCGUGGAUGCUGUUGUUGAAGUGGUCGCAGAUAAAUCCGCUUCAGGAGAUAAACAGCUAAGUCAAGAUGAUGUUCUAAAGGCAAUUGACAGAGGGGGGAGUGAUGCCUAUGUGUUUGGAUCUAGACCAGCUACUUACUGGGUAUUGGAUCCUAUUGAUGGGACUCGGGGAUUCGUGAAAGGUAGUGAAGCUCUCUACGUGGUAGGUUUGGCUCUUGUAGUUGAAGGUGAGAUUGUUUUAGGCGUCAUGGGCUGCCCUAACUGGCAAGAAGAGUAUUCUGGCAAAUUCACCAGUAAUAUACAGGAAUACAAUAAUACUGCAACUAGAUCUGGGGUCAUUAUGAUAUCUCAUGUUGGGCGUGGAACAUGGAGAAAACAAUUAUGGAAUGCACAAAUUGGUGACGUCAGAAUGCCUCAAAAUUGGAUCAGGUGCUUUGUUGAUGGGCAUCACCUCAUUCAUGGGGCACGUUUUUGCAUUCCAGAAAGUCAAACCUGGGAGUCAAUGCCAUUAUCAAGUCAAUUUAAUGCAACAACUGAUGCCGAGUGUGUUGAGGGGAAACAGGUUCUUCUUGUGCAGACUUGCUGUGGAAGAUUAUUCCCUUACCGUGAUGCCCAACUCCCGCAAGAAUGGAACUGUGUAAUGCCACAUUUGUUCAUAAGAGGUGGUCCUGGAGUAAGAAAUCCCCUCUCUUGUGAUGCCCCCAACCUAAGAGAGCCUAAGAUCUUUCAUCAAACGUCUAGUCUUUGUAAAUAUUUGAUGGUAGCGUCUGGAAGGGCAUCUGUUUUCUUUCAGAGUUCAAAGACUCAAAAAACAAUAAAGGUCUGGGAUCAUGCUGUUGGAAUCAUAUGUGUCCAUGAAGCGGGAGGAAAGGGAAAAAGUUGGGCAGCAUUCUUUCUGGGGAAUCUUUUUUAGUUAUGGUCCAGUAACGAAGAAUAUUUGCAAAAGAGAGAUGACUGGUAAAUAUAAAACAGAUUUAGAAAUGGGUCUUCUGCUGCUACAAACACGUUUGUGCUAAUGACUGGAGGCCAUUCCAUAUUGUUGUUUCCUAAACUACUGCAAGAAACAUUUACAACAACCCAUUUUUGGAACGACCAUUGAUUCAAUGGUCCUACCUCUUAAAAGGUGACAGACUGGAGAGGAAGUCAACUUGAUCUUGCUGCAGAUAAGGCAGAGCGAAGGGUCAUAUUUCCUUCUAGUGGUAUUCUAGUGACAAAUAAUAGCAUUCAUAACCAGGUACUAGAGAUGAUCUCCUCAAGUUG